CGGCGAGGAUCUUUGUCGAUAACCGGCACAUGCUGCCGAGCUCGCGAUUUUGCUCUUCACUAAUUUUAUUUGGUUUGUGGUGGAUUAAAUUUGUAGACCCUUAGAAUGGAUCGGUAAGGACUUAAGUUAUUUAUUUGGAAAAUUGUAUGCUACGUUUUGGUUAAGUUUAUUUACGUUAUUUGUCUCUGUAAAACGUGCUACGACGUCAAAACAAACACCUGUGACCGAAACGAACAACGAAAACGAUACGAAGAAGCGAUUUGAGACAAAGCGACCCGCGUCUGUAUGAUAUUCUUGAAACCGUUGAAAUACAUGUAGUACGUUCAUCGCGUUAGUCAAGAGGACGUGGGGCCGCUACAGUUUCAAGAAUAUCUGUCCCCGACUGCAGCAUAUCAGGAUAAAUCCUCUCUACCGUCACGCGGCCGGUUUGGACAGACGUCUACCCACAGUAAGUGACGAGCUGCUGCAGCUGCAGUUCAAACUUCGACAUUGUGACCUCAGAAAAUCCGGACACAUGAACUAAGAUCGUCUGAGAGACUAGCAGUAAACGUGAUUAUGCCCGUGCUAUGUUGUUACUUGUACUUGGAUUAAGUGAGCAAAGCAAGACAUCUAUGUUCUAAUGUUUUUCAUCGCGAAACGUCUGUUUUGAGCUUAUAUAUUCAGGUAAAUUUAGCAGGUGAAGCUUGGUGCGUUCACCACGGAGCGACCCCACUCUGUCUCGUGUAACUGAACUGUGACUAAGCAUCAUGGACAAUUUGAGAGUUUCGGAAUUGCGUGAGCAGUUGCGUCAGAGAGGUUUGAGUCAAAGGGGUACCAAAAAGACGCUUCUGCACCGGUUACGGACAGCUAUGGCCGAGGCAGACACCGACGACGAUUCCACUAAGCCGAGAUCGACAAAUUCACUACAGUAUUCCACGAACUCUAUAAGAAAAGCGGACCGAUCUACCGAAUCUUUAUCUAGCUCUGUUCACUCUGCGCAAUCUGGCUCUUGCAUAUCGGAAUCACUGUUUAUCAAGCAAGCCAACGAGGCUGCGAAAAGAGCGGGUUUAGAAGCCAGAAUGAUGCUUCUUGCUGAGAAGCAGAGAUUAACAGAGGAAACAAGGUUAGCUAGACAGCGGGAGCUCGAACUAGAAUUACAACAAGAGAAACUCGACCUGCAGAUGCAAAUAUUGGAUUCUGCAGCGCGAGAGAAAGAAUUUGAAAAAUUCCAGGUUCACCUCGAAAAUAGUACAGCUGUCAAUCCAUCAAUUACUAAGCAGGAGGCGCAAAGGGAAAUUCGUCCUACACUUUUCAGAGAGAAUAAAGCUACGGCAGCUAGUAUGAGUGAAGAUUGUGUAGGUGUCGAGGGCAUGGUCUCGAGGGGGCAGAACACUGAUGUUGAGGGCAGGUAUUGUCUGACUGCUACUAAAACUGAAUCACCAGCACACAAGCAGACAAGUUUUUGCAGUGAAGCAACAGCCCAGGCAUAUGACCUAACCACUGUACCCCCUGACCUAUUCACGCAAAUGUUGGGAUUAACUGAAAGAAGCACCAUUCCGCGAGUGGAAAUAGAAAAGUUUGAUGGGGAAGUGGCAUAUUAUCGAUCUUUUAUACGCGCUUUCGAGCACCUCAUCUGCAAUAAAGUUCAAAGCGAUGACGAGAAACUAUACUAUUUGGAGCAAUAUACAACAGGCCAGCCUCGAGAGGUUGUUAGAGGCUGUCUCCAUAUGCCUGAAGACAAGGGAUACAAAGAAGCCAGACGUUUGCUCGAGGCAAGAUAUGGAAAUCAGUAUAAAAUUGCAGCACGAUCAGUCGAUAGAAUCUUGAACUGGCCAGCAAUCAAGGUGGACGAAAUAGACGCCAUGGAUGACUUUUCUAUCGCUCUUCGCACCUGCUACAAUUCCAUGGCGGGCAUGGUUACAGAAACCUCGGAAUUGGAUCACCCUAAAACAAUACGUAAAAUUUUGGAAAAAUUUCCGCCGACCAUUCAGGACCGUUGGCGUCGGCUUGCUGAAGAUGUUCGUGAACACAAGAACAGAAUAGUCACCUUUAAAGAUUUAGUAGAUUUUGUGGAAAGAGAAGCCAGGAUUGCGACAAACCCUUUGUUCGGUCGCCACCUGUUCCCCGCCACCAGAGGCAAGCCGGAAGGGCAAAGAAGUGGACCAGCGAACCGUUACAGCCUUGCUGCUCAUAUUGGUCCAGCUAACCACGGCGGUCAGCCAGUGCCUUGCCUGUGGUGUAAAGCGAUGCAUCCUCUCGAUGAAUGCGCCCAUUUCGUCCAAAAUCCAAUGGAGGUGAAAAGGGAGUUUAUCCGAAACAAUUCGCUUUGCUUCGGAUGCCUGGUCCAAGGUCACGUAGCAAAAAGCUGUACAAAUCGUAGUGUAUGUCGCGAAUGUAAAGGGAAGCAUGCUACCGCCUUACAUUCGCCCCCAGGCGAGGUACAGAGCACACGAAGAACGACGACGUAUGAAGCCAUAAAAAACGCUAGAGUUGAUAUUAACAAUGAGGCGUCUUUAGCAUCGUGUGGAAUGGCGAUUGUACCGGUUAAAGUAAGGACCAGGACUGGACACUGUGUGGAAACUUAUGCAUUCCUAGACAAUGGCAGCUCGGCUUCAUUCUGUACUGAAUCACUCUGCAAAAGACUACACGUUUCCGACACAAAGCCCAUCACAUUGAAGCUCACAACUGUUCAUUCACAUAAGAAAACAUUGCUGAGCAAGAGGAUCGACGGACUUAUGUUAAGUGACCUGGAUGAGAACGAGCAUAUUCCACUUCCGUCAAUCUUCACCCUUAGUUACAUACCUGUAUCGGAGGACGAUAUUCCAACAUAUCAUGACAUCAGUAAGUUUCCGUACCUCAGUGAUAUUGAUAUGCCCCGCAUCAAUGCUGGAAUAGAGUUAAUGAUUGGGAACAACGUCCCGCAGGCUAUGGAACCGUGGGAGGUGCGUCAUAGUCAAAUGAACGGUCCUUACGCCAUACGAACCAAGCUGGGGUGGGUCAUCAACGGACCUGUCAGAGACCUCAGAGCGAACGUAAUACACGCGAAUGGAACACGCGCCGCGGCGUUCCAUCACGGGCUCGAUGAGACCUUACAAAAUAUGUAUGAACAAGAAUUUCCAGAGAAAAAUUUUUCCGUCGCAAAGGGGAUGUCACAUGAAGAUCGAAGAUGGAUGGCAAUGGUUCAAGAAAGUUGUAGAGUGAGUGCUGAUGGUCAUUACGAGAUAGCCUUGCCAUUCUGCCAGGCGAAUCCCGAGCUCCCAAAUAAUCUGGAGUUGGCAAUAAGAAGACUUGAGGGACUCAAAAGGAAACUUAUGAAAGAUAACCGAUUAAGAGAGCACUACACGGCGACUAUGACAGAUAUGCUCUCCAAGGGUUACAUAGAAAGGGCACCCGAGCUCGAUUCAAUGACUAAAGGUGGGAAGAAAUGGUAUCUCCCACACCAUGGGGUGUAUCAUCCGCAAAAACCACAUAAAGUUCGUAUCGUUUUCGACGCGGCAGCUAGCUACAAAGGCACGUCCUUGAACGACGCAUUGCUACAGGGACCCGACUUAACCAAUUCCCUUAUCGACGUACUAUUACGGUUUCGAUGGGCUCCUGUAUGCUUUACGGCGGACAUAGAAGCCAUGUUCCAUCAAGUACGAGUACCCGAUCGCGACAGAGACUUUUUACGGUUUCUCUGGUGGACUGGUGGCGACUUGACUGAUCAGCCAGCUGAAUACAGAUUUACUGUACAUCCUUUCGGAGCCACAUCAUCACCGGCGUGCGCCAAUUACGCCUUGCGAAGGGCCGCCACUGACCACGGAUCACACUUCAGCGCAGAUACUGUGGAGACCAUUCUAUACAACUUUUACGUUGACGACUGCCUUAAGUCGGUUGAAACAGGUGACGAUGGAAUCAGGAUCGGUCAAGAGCUGAUAGAAUUAUGCUCACGAGGAGGCUUCAACUUAACAAAGUUUGUCAGUAAUUGCAGCGCGCUCUCUCCUCAUUUGGACAAUGACAAGAGCAAUUGUUGCAUUGAAUUUGAUCAGGAAAGGGGUCUUGCACGGAAGGCUCUUGGAGUAAAAUGGUCUCUAGACACUGACAGUUUUAGUUUUUCGGCGGCCAUAAAAGAAAGGCCCAUGUCCAAACGCGGUAUUCUCGCAAUCGUAGGCUCAGUGUAUGAUCCGUUUGGUUUGAUUUCCCCUUACGUUUUAAUCGCAAGACAUCUAUUGCGAGACCUGUGCAGAAUCAAAGUCGGCUGGGAUGAAUGCAUUCCAAAGCCAUAUCAGAAGCAGUGGGAACAAUGGCUAAACGAUCUUCUGGUCUUGAACAACAUUUCCGUUCCUAGGUGUCUGAGGCCACGGUCUUUCAGGAACGCAUUUUGCCAGCUCCAUCAUUUUUCUGACGGUAGUGAACGCGCCUACGGAACUGUCUCUUAUUUCAGAGUUGUCAACGAAGCAGGUGAUAUUCACUGUGGUUUUGUAUUCGGGCGGUCACGAUUGGCACCGUUGAAAGGGACGACUAUCCCAAGGAUAGAGCUAGCCGCAGCAACUUUGGCUGUGAAAGUGAACGCUAUGAUUCAAAGCGCGUUCCAAACCAAAAUUGAGUCAUGGUUUUGGACCGAUAGUACCACAGUUUUGCGUUAUAUUCGAAACGAGAAGACACGUUUUCACACGUUUGUUGCAAACCGACUAGCAGUCAUAAGGGAAGGCUCUUCGCCGAACCAGUGGAAGUAUGUUCAAAGUUCCCUGAAUCCUGCAGACAUUGCUUCACGUGGAGCAAGUGGGAAAGACAUCAGUAAGAACCAGGAGUGGUUCUCCGGCCCCGAAUUUCUGUGGAAAGAAAGCCACGAAUGGCCUUUGACGCCCAAUAAUUUGGGGGACAUAACAGAAGACAUUGAAGUGAAAAGAGAGCGCAAAAAGGAACAGCUUCCGAAUACUGAUCUGAGAGCGAACUGCACAAACGUCAUUACCGUGCUGGACGUACAUCCCGUAGAAACACUUCUUAGUUAUUACAGCAGCAGAUGGAAAGUGGUUAGAGCAAUAGCUUGGCUAUUGAGAGUUCGUCACAGACUAUUAUGUAAGGAAGCGCCUAGAGCUACGAGAAGAAAUUUGAGCAUCGAGGAGAUGGAAGCUGGGGAGCGAGAGAUAGUGAUUCAUGAACAAAUGGCAAGCUAUGCAUCGGAAAGGAAACAUUUGGCAGCUGGCAGACCUGUUCAACUAUCUAGUUCCUUGCAGAAACUUAAUCCAAUAUUACAAGAUGGCUUCGUCGUGGUUGGUGGGCGACUCGAACGUGCCUUGCUACCAGAAACGGCGAAACAUCCUAUCAUCCUCCCCGCAAGUUCUCGAUAUGCCACCAUGGUCAUUCAGGAUGUACAUGAGCAAUUGGGGCAUCAAGGACUGUCCCACGUUCUUACCACAGUGAGACAAAAGUUUUGGAUUAUACAUGGAAAUAAAGCUGUGAGAAAGGUUUUGAGUAACUGUCUUCACUGUCGAAGAAGAUUUAGUCAGCCAGAGAAUCAGAAAAUGGCCGAUUUGCCUAUCGAUAGGGUUCAGGCGUUGCAACCUCCAUUUACAAGUACUGGUGUCGAUUGUUUUGGACCAUUCUUCGUCAAACGUGGAAGAGGACAAGAAAAAAGAUAUGGCAUCAUUUUUACUUGUUUAGCAAUUCGCGCCGUCCAUCUUGAGAUGGCUGACAAUCUCUCGACAGAUUCAUUUAUUUGUGCCUUAAAAAGAUUCAUUUCCCGUAGAGGCAAUGUGCAGGUGAUUCGGUCCGACAACGGCACAAAUUUUGUCGGAACAAAUAACGAAUUGAAAAGGGAAUGGAGAAAACUGCACUCUUCAGACGCAAUCUAUAACACACUAGCAAAACGAGGAAUCGAGUGGAUUUUCAACACUCCAGGUGCCUCACAUCACGGAGGGGUGUGGGAGAGAAUGAUAAGGUCCACGAGAAGAGUCCUCGAAUCCUUGCUCUCAUCGCAGUUGCUUACGGACGAGACGCUAAGAACUUUCUUAUGCGAAGCGGAAAGUAUUAUCAACAGCCGUCCAUUGACUCCUUUAACGAUGGACCCCACGGAUGCUGAACCGCUCACUCCCAACCAUUUACUGUUGCUUGCACCAGGGGGAGAUCUGCAAGCUGGAAUUUGGCAAGAAACUGAUAAUAUCAGCAUAAGAAGAUGGAAACAGGCCAGAUAUAUGACAGAACUUUUCUGGAAGAGGUGGCGAACCGAAUACCUGCCACUGUUGCAGAGCCGUCCGAGAGCAUGGACUCGAAGUAGAGGGAAUCUGAAAGAGGGAGACGUUGUACUCCUAGUUGACACAGCAGUACCAAGAGGGCAGUGGCCCAUAGGAAGAGUGCAGACGGUAAAAACGAGUCUAGACGGUCUGGUAAGAUCGGUUACGAUUCUCUGUCGCGGGACACAGUUGACGAGACCUAUCCAAAAGUUGGUGAAACUACUAUCAGAAGACGAAACAUCGUAGGACUGAUCCGCAGACACAUUGCCCAUGAUGUCUAGUUACAUUGUCAGAAAUUGUCAGAUGCGGAUUGACAAUUUAGAUAUACGGUUGUACACAUGGGCAUGUUGUAUCGCUGCGACGAUACAAAGGGGAGGGUGUUAUCGGCGAGGAUCUUUGUCGAUAACCGGCACAUGCUGCCGAGCUCGCGAUUUUGCUCUUCACUAAUUUUAUUUGGUUUGUGGUGGAUUAAAUUUGUAGACCCUUAGAAUGGAUCGGUAAGGACUUAAGUUAUUUAUUUGGAAAAUUGUAUGCUACGUUUUGGUUAAGUUUAUUUACGUUAUUUGUCUCUGUAAAACGUGCUACGACGUCAAAACAAACACCUGUGACCGAAACGAACAACGAAAACGAUACGAAGAAGCGAUUUGAGACAAAGCGACCCGCGUCUGUAUGAUAUUCUUGAAACCGUUGAAAUACAUGUAGUACGUUCAUCGCGUUAGUCAAGAGGACGUGGGGCCGCUACAAUUAGACUGCCUACAAGAACAAGUUCUACCACGAUCAGCUCCAAAACAGCUGAAGAGAAAUGCGCACCCAUUUCCAGAAAGUGCUAGAGCGUACUUGGAAGACGCGGUACGUAGCCUUCGUGACCACCGUAACGUUUUGCAGAGCAGACUGGGUGGUAUUCAGCUGCCUCAUCAUAUGGUUGAGAUUCUUCAACAACAAGCUGUGGAUCAUCGUGCGCAUCUUCAGGCGUUGGUGACCCAGCUCUGUGAAGAGAGCGCUUGGAAGAAUGUGGGAAACCGUGAUUUGAUAACAAACUUGUCGAGCAGAGCUCUCUCUGAAACUGAAACUGAAGUCUUGUCGCUAGGUCUGAAGUUCGCGGUGGGAUCUAAUAAGCAGCCUCUGGUAGAAACAGUUAUGAAAAACUAUAGAUACAACGAUACUGAUAUCGACAAGGGCUUUAUCCAAGGGCUUACGACCAGCUGCGCAGCAUUCUCCAAGCACACGAACUCUUCUAUGCCUCGACGGUAUCUAAGCGCACUCAAAGAUCUUGCUAAAGACGAAAGCAUAAUUGUGACCACGGCAGAUAAGGGAGCUGGAGUAGUAUUAAUGGACUAUGAUAACUACAAGACUAAAAUGUCCGAUUUACUGAGCGACACUUCUACCUACAAGGAAGUACCCAAGGGCAGCGCAGAGAAGGACGCCAAGCGCUUCAAUCAAAAAGUGAGGAAGAUUCUGAACGGCUCCACAGAGGGUAAGAAGCUUCAGUAUCACCCCAAGUAUGUAUGGCCUUCCAAAAACACAUAAGUCGGGGAACCCAAUGCGCCCUAUAACCUCGGGUGUGGGAAGCGCGCCGCAUCAGCUGGCCAAAAAGCUUGCUAAGCCGCUAUCGGACCUUUUGGGAAAAACAAGCGGAACCCACCUUCGAAACUCUGGUGACUUGCUGAACAGAAUAAAGGAUGAAAGAAUGAAUGACAAAAAACUAGCAAGUUUUGAUGUGAAAUCGCUUUUCACAAAUGUCCCCUUACAAGAUGCCAUGGAAGCAGUAAGACGAGCACUGGACGAUAACCAGGACAUUGCACUGCCAGUGCCGAAAGCGGACUUCAUUCGCCUAGUCCGACUUUGCGUUGAGUUUGGCGCCCUGGAAUUUGAAGGCAAUGAAUACAAACAAAUAGACGGUCUGGCGAUGGGCUCCCCUCUUAGUCCUGUGCUCGCGUGUAUCUUCAUGGAAACGUUAGAAACGGAUCAUUUUCUGAACAUCGUCGGUCAAAGCACCACAUGGCUAAGGUACGUGGAUGACAUUCUGGUUAUAGUGAACAAGCAACAAGAUUUAGACAGUGUUCUUCGAAAGCUCAACGACGUGCACCCGAAAAUACAGUUCACCUGCGAACAGGAACAAGAUGGCAAGCUCCCUUUCCUAGACACACUGAUUUGGAACCGAGAAUCAAGACUGAUGUUUUCCGUAUACCGGAAACCGACCAACAAGAAUGACUUUAUCCAUUUUUAUUCGUCGCACAGUCAAAGAACGAAGACUGGAGUCGUUUUGGGAUUUUAUCUCAGAGCGUUUCGCAUCUGUUCAAAGGAAUAUUUACAGAACGAGCUAGAGUACAUUAGGACAACUUUUACCAAACUCAGCUACCCUUUGGGUCUUCUCCUUCAGCUAGAAAAGAAAGCUAUAAAGAUCCGCUCAAGAUCCUCCAAUUCAAAUGCCACGAAAAGAAAGGAAUAUAUAUCAGUACCUCUGUCAGAAUAAUCUGAAGUGAUCACAAGCUUUACCAGGGGAGCCUUAAACAUUACAUCUCCAUCGGGUUCAACAAUUAAGGAUAUUUUACGGCGCAAGAAGAAAGCAAGCAACCAAAACAGUGUGGUUUAUAAAAUUCCAUGUGGCGUUUGUGAAAAAAGCUACAUAGGGGAAACAUACAGGGGUGCAGCUAAACGGGUAGAGGAACACAAAAGAGAUUUGCGGAAUCACCAAGAAUCUAACGCCAUAGUGCAGCAUGUGGAUGACGCGGGGCAUUUGCCAAACUGGUCGGCGAUGUCAAACCUAUGCGUGGGAUUAAAUAAGCGUAACCGACAGGCGGUGGAAGCAGCGUUUAUUUCUACGAUUAGUAAUUUCAAUGGGAAUUCGGGUAAAGUAAAACUCAGCAAGCACACUGCUCAAUUAAUUUUGAAAAAUGAUUUCAGGAAGUAGGGGUUCCGGGCGAAAAGCAGUGUAACGUUUUCAGUCAUGUAUAGAAUUGCUAAUCUGUGAGUGUCUGUGAACGUCCCCAUUCGACCCCGUUCGACCUCGAUUGUAUUUCGAUAUAGGUAGUUAUUUUUAUAUGGUGUGACCAAGGGAUUAUUCCCGAAACACAUGUGUAACCAAUUUUAAUAUAAAAACAACACGUUCC